GAUCAUGGCUCAGAACGAACGCUGGCGGCAGGUCUUAGGCAUGCAAGUCGAACGGAUGACAAGGGAGCUUGCUUCCUUGAAGUCAGUGGCGCACGAGUGAGUAACGCGUGGGAAACUGCCCUUCACUGGGGAAUAACGUUUGGAAACGAACGCUAAUACCGCAUACGCCCGCAAGGGGAAAGAUUUAUCGGUGAUGGAUGUGCCCGCGUUGGAUUAGCUAGUUGGUGGGGUAAUGGCCUACCAAGGCGAUGAUCCAUAGCUGGUCUGAGAGGACGAUCAGCCACGCUGGAACUGAGACACGGUCCAGACUCCUACGGGAGGCAGCAGCUAAGAAUAUUGGGCAAUGGAGGAAACUCUGACCCAGCCCAUGCCGCGUGAGUGAAGAAGGCCUUCGGGUUGUAAAGUUCUUUUAGUCAUGAAGAUGAUGACAGUAGUGACAGAAAAAGCACCGGCUAACUUCGUGCCAGCCGCCGC
rnacentral:rRNA from 1 species